GACGAACGCUGGCGGCGUGCCUAAUACAUGCAAGUUGAGCGCUGAAGGUUGGUACUUGUACCCACUGGAUGAGCAGCGGACGGGUGAGUAACGCGUGGGUAAUCUGCCUUUGAGCGGGGGACAACAUCUGGAAACGAAUGCUAAUACCGCAUAAAAACUUUAAACACAAGAUUUAAGUUUGAAAGAUGCAAUUGCAUCACUCAAAGAUGAUCCCGCGUUGUAUUAGCUAGUUGGUGAGGUAAAGGCUCACCAAGGCGAUGAUACAUAGCCGACCUGAGAGGGUGGUCGAGCAACACGGGAAUGGGAAAAGGCCCAAGCCUCUACGGGGGGGAGCAGGAGGGGAAUAUCGGACAUGGAGGAAAGUCUGACCGAACAACGCCGGGGUAGUGAAGAAGGUUUUCGGAUCGUAAAACUCUGUUUGUAGGGAAGAACGUUGGGGAGGGUAGAAAGCUCAUCAAGUGACGGUAACUACCCAGAAAGGAACGGCUAACUACGUG
rnacentral:rRNA from 1 species